AAGAAGAAAGUGACAACUUUGAAAUUUCAUUUCAUUACAUCUUUACUCAUAUUGCACUAGGGAUUCCCUCAACAACUUGAUUGAUCAAGUUGAAACAUCUUGAACCUUGGAUAAGAGUCAAGAUUUGGCAGAGCCAACUUGAGAAAAUCCCUUGCCACUACAGUAUGAUUGUCCUUGUAAAGAUGAUACGUACAAAAUCUCAUUUGGGUGCCCUGAUCAUGUGAGGAUACGAAUGGAGGUAUUGUACCAACAUCAUAUGACUCAUACGGGUUAGUCAUUUAGUAUACAAUUAUGGUACUGAGGAAUACUUGAUUGCAUACUGCUUGGUCAUGCAAUAUUGAAC